rnacentral:rRNA from 1 species
CCUGGUUGAUCCUGCCGCCAUCAUAUGCUUAUCUCAAAGAUUAAUACAUUCAUGUGGGCAUGAACGAAUUCAGACUCAGAAACUGCGAAUGGCUCAUUAAAUCAGUUAUAGUUUGUUUUGAUGGUAACUACUACUCGGAUAAACCUUGAGUAAUUCCUGAGCUAAUAAUGCGGCAAAACCCCGAACACUUCUGGGAAGGGAUGCAUUUAUUAGAUAAAGGUAUCGACGCUCUGCCCGUUUAUCUGAUGAUUCAUGAUAACUUCACGGAUCGCAUGGCCUUCAAAGUUACGACGCGAUCAUUCAAAUUUCUACCCUAUCAACUUUCGAUGGUAGGAUAGUGGCCUACCAUGGUGGUGGUAACGGGUGACGAGAAUUGGGGUUCAAUUAGGAGAGCCUGAGAAACGGCUACCAAGAUCCAAGGAAGAAAGUAGCGCAAAAUUACCCAAUCGACGGGAGGUAGUGACAGUAAAUAUGAUACGGGCUCUUUGAGUCUGGGUAAUUGGAAUGAAUUACAAUCGAAUCCAUAACGAGGAUCCAUUGAGGCAAGUCUGGUGCCAGCAGCCGCUGUAAUUCCAGCUCCAAUGGUGAUCCAUUUGUUGUUGCAGUUAAAAGCUCGAGUUGAACCUUGGAUGGGGUAAAAGUCCGUCCGCUUCGUGAGCACCGGUCGGCUUUGUCUCUUCUGGCGGUGAUCGCUCCUGGCCUUUAACGGGUCACCCCGGCUGUUACUUUGAAGAAAUUUUAGAGUGCUUUCAAAGCAGUAUCCACGCCUUAUACAUUAGCAUGGGAUAACAUCAUGGGAUUUCAUCCUAUCAGGGUUGGGAUCGACUGAGUAAUGAUUACUGGGACGGUCGGGGUAUCUGUAUUUAUAGUCGGAGGUGGUCUGGAUUUAUGAAAGAUCAACAACUAUGAAAGCAUUUGCCAAGGAUGUUUUCAUUAAUCAAGAACUUAAAGUUAGGGGCUCCAAGGCGACUGAUACCGUCCUAGUCUCAACCAUAAACGAUGCGUCACCAGGAUCAGCGGAUGUUGCUUUUAGACCCGCUGGCACCUUAUGAGAAACCGCAAGUUUUGGGUUCCGUGGGGAGUGGUCGCAAGGCUGAAACCCUUAAAAUUGACCGGACGGGCACCAACCAACGAGUGGUUCUUCGCCGCAUUUGACUCAACAUCGGGAAAACUUACCGUAUCCAGAAGAUAGUAAGACUGAUGACUGAGAGCUCUUUCUGGAUUCUGGCGGUGGUGGUGCAUGGUCGUUCUGCUGGUGGAGCCAUUUGUCUGCUAAUCUGCGAACGAAUCUAGUGACCUGCUAACUAGCUAAUGGA